rnacentral:rRNA from 1 species
GAGUUUGAUCCUGGCUCAGAUUGAACGCUGGCGGCAGGCCUAACACAUGCAAGUCGAGCGGCAGCACGGGAAGCUUGCUUCCUGGUGGCGAGCGGCGGACGGGUGAGUAAUGCAUAGGAAUCUGCCCGGUAGUGGGGGAUAACCUGGGGAAACCCAGGCUAAUACCGCAUACGUCCUACGGGAGAAAGCAGGGGCUCUUCGGACCUUGCGCUAUCGGAUGAGCCUAUGUCGGAUUAGCUGGUUGGUGAGGUAAUGGCUCACCAAGGCGACGAUCCGUAGCUGGUCUGAGAGGAUGAUCAGCCACAUCGGGACUGAGACACGGCCCGAACUCCUACGGGAGGCAGCAGUGGGGAAUAUUGGACAAUGGGCGCAAGCCUGAUCCAGCCAUGCCGCGUGUGUGAAGAAGGCCCUCGGGUUGUAAAGCACUUUCAGUGGGGAAGAACGCCUUCCGGCUAAUACCCGGGAGGAAAGACAUCACCCACAGAAGAAGCACCGGCUAACUCCGUGCCAGCAGCCGCGGUAAUACGGAGGGUGCGAGCGUUAAUCGGAAUUACUGGGCGUAAAGCGCGCGUAGGUGGCUUGAUAAGCCGGUUGUGAAAGCCCCGGGCUCAACCUGGGAACGGCAUCCGGAACUGUCAGGCUAGAGUGCAGGAGAGGAAGGUAGAAUUCCCGGUGUAGCGGUGAAAUGCGUAGAGAUCGGGAGGAAUACCAGUGGCGAAGGCGGCCUUCUGGACUGACACUGAGGUGCGAAAGCGUGGGUAGCAAACAGGAUUAGAUACCCUGGUAGUCCACGCCGUAAACGAUGUCGACUAGCCGUUGGGUCCUUCGCGGACUUUGUGGCGCAGUUAACGCGAUAAGUCGACCGCCUGGGGAGUACGGCCGCAAGGUUAAAACUCAAAUGAAUUGACGGGGGCCCGCACAAGCGGUGGAGCAUGUGGUUUAAUUCGAUGCAACGCGAAGAACCUUACCUACCCUUGACAUCCUGCGAACCCUUCGGAGACGAAGGGGUGCCUUCGGGAACGCAGAGACAGGUGCUGCAUGGCUGUCGUCAGCUCGUGUUGUGAAAUGUUGGGUUAAGUCCCGUAACGAGCGCAACCCUUGUCCCUAUUUGCCAGCGAUUCGGUCGGGAACUCUAGGGAGACUGCCGGUGACAAACCGGAGGAAGGUGGGGACGACGUCAAGUCAUCAUGGCCCUUACGGGUAGGGCUACACACGUGCUACAAUGGUCAGUACAAAGGGUUGCGAACUUGCGAGAGUGAGCCAAUCCCAGAAAGCUGAUCUCAGUCCGGAUCGGAGUCUGCAACUCGACUCCGUGAAGUCGGAAUCGCUAGUAAUCGUGAAUCAGAAUGUCACGGUGAAUACGUUCCCGGGCCUUGUACACACCGCCCGUCACACCAUGGGAGUGGACUGCACCAGAAGUGGUUAGCCUAACCUUCGGGAGGGCGAUCACCACGGUGUGGUUCAUGACUGGGGUGAAGUCGUAACAAGGUAACC